rnacentral:rRNA from 1 species
AUGAAUAAAUCAUGAGGUUGGACGGUACCUCUCGAUAACAAACACCGAGCUAACUACGUGCCAGCAGCCGCGGUAAUACGUAGGGUGCGAGCGUUAAUCGGAAUUACUGGGCGUAAAGCGUGCGCAGGCGGUUUUGUAAGUCGGAUGUGAAAUCCCCGGGCUCAACCUGGGAACUGCGUUCGACACUGCAAGGCUAGAGUGUGUCAGAGGGGGGUAGAAUUCCACGUGUAGCAGUGAAAUGCGUAGAGAUGUGGAGGAAUACCAAUGGCGAAGGCAGCCCCCUGGGAUAACACUGACGCUCAUGCACGAAAGCGUGGGGAGCAAACAGGAUUAGAUACCCUGGUAGUCCACGCCCUAAACGAUGUCAACUAGUUGUUGGUAGAGUAAAAUCUAUGAGUAACGUAGCUAACGCGUGAAGUUGACCGCCUGGGGAGUACGGUCGCAAGAUUAAAACUCACAGGACUUGACGGGGGCCCGCACAAGCGGUGGAUUAUGUGGAUUACUCCG